AUUGAACGCUGGCGGCAUGCCUUACACAUGCAAGUCGAACGGCAGCACGGGUGCUUGCACCUGGUGGCGAGUGGCGAACGGGUGAGUAAUACAUCGGAACGUACCUUAUCGUGGGGGAUAACGCAGCGAAAGCUGUGCUAAUACCGCAUAAGCCCUGAGGGGGGAAAGCGGGGGAUCGAAAGACCUCGCGCGAUUAGAGCGGCCGAUGACUGAUUAGCUUGUUGGUGGGGUAAAAGCCCACCAAGGCGACGAUCAGUAGCUGGUCUGAGAGGACGAUCAGCCACACUGGGACUGAGACACGGCCCAGACUCCUACGGGAGGCAGCAGUGGGGAAUUUUGGACAAUGGGGGCAACCCUGAUCCAGCAAUGCCGCGUGAGUGAAGAAGGCCUUCGGGUUGUAAAGCUCUUUUGUCAGGGAAGAAACACCGGCUCUAACACAGUCCGGGAAUGACGGUACCUGAAGAAUAAGCACCGGCUAACUACGUGCCAGCAGCCGCUGUAA
rnacentral:rRNA from 1 species